GGUUGGCUGUACGUGUCUCCAGGCGCUCACGCUCCGAGUGGGAAAGGGGAUGGGGCCCAGCUAGACCGACUAGGACGAGACAAGAGGGACAGGGAGGCUUCGCGGAACCCUACGCCCACCCGACGCGUUCGCCCGUCCGUUUUUAUUUUUAUUUUUAUUUUGGUUUUUUUGUUGUUGUUCUCUUCUUUUGUCUUUUUUUUUUCUUUAGAGACGGGGUCUAGCUAUGUUGGCCAGGCUGGUCUCGAGUCCCCGGGCUCAAGCGAUCCUCCCGCCUCAGCCUCCGGAAAAGUGGGACUACAGGCGCGCAUCGCCGCACCCGGCCAAUCCCUGUUUUAAUCCUUUUCCUUAAAAUUGCAAAAGUGGUGUCUUUUUCCUGCAGAUGGACCCUCCCUGAUACAGGAGGAGAAAAAGAGACAGACACAGGGAGGAGAGCACUGCACGCAGCUGAAGGCAGAGAUUGGAAUGACACCUCUGCAAGCCAAGGAACACGGAGCAUUGCUGGGAACCACCGGAAGAAGCCAGAAGACAGGCCUGGAGCUGGCUUUCCCUCACAGCCCCAGAAGGAACCCACCCUGGUGCCACCUUGAUUUCGGACUUCUGGCCUUCAGAACUGGGAGAGAAUAAAUUUCUGUUGCUUUAAACUUCCC
ensembl:lncRNA ATP6AP1-DT ATP6AP1 divergent transcript